UACGAACUGUGCAAACGUUAUUCGGAUUCACUGGGCUUAAAGGGUGCGUAGGCGGCCAUGUAAGUAGGGUGUGAAAUCCCCCGCUUAACCGGGAACGUGCGCCCUAAACUGUCGAUGGCUUGAGUUGAGAUAGGGGUGUGUGGAACUUCCGGUGGAGCGGUGAAAUGUGUUGAUAUCGGAAGGAACGCCGGUGGCGAAAGCGACACACUGGGUCUCAACUGACGCUGAGACAACGCAAGGCAGGGAGACGGAACGG
rnacentral:rRNA from 1 species